CCUACGGGAGGCAGCAGUGGGGAAUAUUGCACAAUGGGGGAAACCCUGAUGCAGCGACGCCGCGUGAGUGAAGAAGUAUUUCGGUAUGUAAAGCUCUAUCAGCAGGGAAGAAAAUGACGGUACCUGAUUAAGAAGCCCCGGCUAACGACGUGCAAGCAGCCGCGGUAAUACGUAGGGGGCAAGCGUUAUCCGGAUUUCCUGGGUGUAAAGGGAGCGUAGACGGCAGCACAAGUCUGGAGUGAAAUGCCAGGGGUUAACCCCGGAACUGCUUUGGAAACUGUACAGCUAGAGUGCGGGAGAGGUAAGUGGAAUUACUAGUGUAGCGGUAAAAUGCGUAGAUAUUAGGAGGAACACCAGUGGCGAAGGCGGCUUACUGGACUGUAACUGACGUUGAGGCUCGAAAGCGUGGGGAGCAAACAGGAUUAGAUACCCCAGUAGUC
rnacentral:rRNA from 1 species